rnacentral:rRNA from 1 species
CUAGUAAUCGUAGAUCAGAAUGCUACGGUGAAUACGUUCCCGGGCCUUGUACACACCGCCCGUCACACCAUGGGAGUGGGUUGCAAAAGAAGUAGGUAGCUUAACCUUCGGGAGGGCGCUUACCACUUUGUGAUUCAUGACUGGGGUGAAGUCGUAACAAGGUAACCGUAGGGGAACCUGCGGUUGGAUCACCUCCUUACC